rnacentral:antisense_RNA from 1 species
GGGGGAGAAUGGGCAUCCCACCCCAGCACUUUCUAGGAAGAAGGGCAACAUUUUGAAGGGCUGGAAGUAGAGAAAGAAGGUUGCGGGUAGAAGACUCCAUACUUUCUGUGACGCCUAUUCCUUAGGAGAGCUUUUAUAUAACCAAAGAUAUUUUUGGACCAUGAAUUCGGAAAUUCUCGGAGCCACCCAUCAAUGCCUGAGCUUCAGUGAGUCCAUAUCCCAUGUCACCUACGGCAAAGGAGAAUCUGAGACUUCUGAAGAGUUUCUUGCUUCUUUCCUGUGGGGCAGUGACUCCACUUCCCAGCAGUAAUGGAAUAUCCUGAAUUAGCUACAUUAAUGUUAGAACCAUUUGGACCUCACCCAGGACUUCAACUACAUUGUGGCCCUCCAAACACCAGCACUGAGUAGAAAGAGGCUCUGAUUCAUGAAAUGUGAAUUUAUGACAGUUGCCACUCUUUAAAAAAAAACAGACAGAACUUGAGCAAUACAUGACUGAUGCAUUCUCAGCCUGCUUCCUGUGUUCCAUCUGUCUUUCUGGCAGUGCAUUCACCCUCCAGGUUCUAGUAUGUUAGGUUUAUGUUCCCCUGCUUUCUACAAUCCUGUUCAAAGAGUUGCUGACUUAACCACAGAGAGAAUUCCAGAACAUGAGACACAGAAUAAACUUGAACAAUCAUAGUCCAUCCACUUCAUUUUCUCAUCGAAAACCAAAGGUCCAGUGAGGCUCUGGAACUCGACGCUGUAAAGGAGCGAAGGAGCAUCUAUACAGAACCUGGAUGCCUGUCUCCU